AUUGCAAGGAGUUCUACAACAGAUAAGACUUACUUUAACAUUGAUUUUUUUAUCACAUUAAUCUUCCAGAGAGGAAAAAUUAACCACUACACUCCGGCUUCCUAUACUAGAAACAGCUCAAAGGCUGUUGGUGCUGAGGAAGCCCACAAGUGCGAGUGUUCUGCCUCGAAGCCGCUGUGUCUGCCUGGAGCCCAGGAAGCUCUGGAGGGGUCUGUGGGGAUUGGAGGUCCAUCUGUGGUGGAGAAGGAAUUUCAUGUGCAACCCUCCUCUCUCCCUCCGUAGGUGCCCAGCAAUUGUAUCAAUAACAUCUGCUUCUUAAAAUGUGCAGGUUACUGCCAUAUUGGUUUUUUCCAGCAUUCUUCUAAUGCGUAGUAUUUUUUUAUAUGCCAAGUAUGUUGAGGCCAUAAAUGCUUUAACAUGCAGAAGAUGUGCAGCAAGAGAAAUAUGUCCUUUUGGACGGCUUCCCCCCUCUCCUGCCAGCCCUGAGAGACAGGGAUCUGGAUCCCUUGUUGUGACGUAGGAGCAGAACACGGGUGGCAGCCUGAGUGCAGUGCCACCCACUGCGGGUCCCAGAAAUAGCCUGUGCCAUCUCCAGGCUUGGACACUUUCCAAGUUGUGGUGCUGCCUCUCCCAGGUUCAAGAGUUCCUUCUCUCUGCACAAACAAGUGAUGGAAAGAACUGUUUGAUCAGCGUGGAAGAGUGAAGCUGUGUAUUAAUGUGCAAUGCCCAUCCUCGAGGCUUUUGCCUCUCUCCGGCUGUCUGUUGCAUGGACCAGGCCUUCGCUUGUCCGUUUCAUUUUUUGGCAGUUUUGUCUUUUGAAGUCUGCUCAGCAGUGGAAGGCUGUUCCUGCUGAUACCCACUUUCUCAAGGACAAGCUCAACGCACUCCAUGGCACUGAGGAAUUGUGGUCCUUCUGGGGCUGGGACAGCCUAGCAGCUGCCCUCCAUGCAAUGUGCUAAUAAGGAUCUAAAUUACUCAGAAAUAUCAUGAAUGGAAUAAAAUGUGUGCUAUUUGAUUGCUUUCACUUUAUUUUAUUUUGAUUAGUAAUUAUGUUGAUCUAUGCAAGCAAUAACUAGAGAAAAUAGAAUCAAGAAAAACGUAGGUAAGCAUUAGGGAGAUCCUAAUAUCAUAAACAGAGAGGGAACUCUACCUUAGUUUGCCAGAUGUGUUUUGUAUUUAAUUAAUGAGACUUGUAUGUAUCUAUUAAGUUACUUGACUCCAGCUAUCCAAAGAAGUUUCACUGAACUGAGAUUUUAUGACAUGUUCUUUGAAGGUAUUAAGAGGAUGGCUGAGCUAAUGAUUUUUGUUUGGUGUGGAGCACUGCUGUGCGCAGUGACUACAAAAUGAUGCUCGGGAAGGAAAGGGGAAAAAAGAGACUAUAAAAUCUUUCAUCUAGCAGGAAAAUGCAGCUGUGCUGUCAGAAGUGUAUCUGUAAGCAUUCUACCACAGAUUUUAAUGCCUGGUUAAAAGAUGAUGAACAUACUUUAGUAUCAGUGAUACAUGAGCUUCUGCAGCUUAAUAAACGAAGCUGUGGGACUAGACAAAUGUGCUUCUACUUGUCAGUCCUCUUUAGGGAGAGAAUGUAUUUUGAUUACUCCUGUUUCUAAUUACCAUUUUGUCUGUAUGAUGUGUUCUUUGCUAAAAUGUGAUGCCUUUUUCCUACAGGUGUCAAGACUUGACUGUGUAGGUCAGUGACAUGCAGCUAUUCCAUCAAGAUUUAAUGUUGUCCCCCACUGUGUUUAAUAGAUUGGAUAUUUUUUGUGCUUGCUUUACAGACUGCACAUGCUCAGUUAAAUCACCUCUCUGGCUAACCCCAUCAAAAACUGAUCAGGAGUGAUCUGCUGAUACUGCAGCACCUACUGCAAGCUGCUCUUUGCCUCUGCUGUUGUCAGAAGCUGCUUGACCUUUCAUAGGAUCGCUAAGUUUGGAAAAGACCAUUAAGAGCAUCCAGUCCAACUGCCAUUCCAUCCCCACCAUGCCACUAACCAUUUCCCUCAGUGCCUCAUCUCCACGUGUCUUGCACACCUCUGGGGAUUGUGACUCUACAGUCUCCUUAGGUCACCUGUUCCAAUUCCUCACCACUCCUUCUGAGAAGAAAUUCUUCUCCGUGUUCAGUACCGCAUGGCCUUGGCACGAUAGGCCGAGCAGAUAGAAGGGUCCUUUGCAGAAAUGCUAAGCUUAGCCAUCAAUACUGCCAGAAUUCUGUCUCUGCUCCUGCUUCCAUGCAGGAAUCAAGAAUCAUGCCCAGAAAAAAAAAAACAACAGGAGAAGCAAGUCAAUUCACUCGAACAGUUGUACCUCUUUUGCAUUUGUCUCCUUCAGCCUCUCAAAAUUGGUCUUCACCAGCCUGUUUCCAAGCCUGGGCAUUUGGGUCCCUGUCUGCAGAUCACGGGGUAUACAUGAUGUGUAGGGUACAUUGCUCAGGCUUGCAGUUUUGCUGCUUUGCCUGAUAUUUGAAGUUGUGCCUAUCUGCAGCAGAAGCUCAAAACUACAUCAGAAUAGAUAUUUUUACAGCACAUGAAAAAAUUCGGGAAAAUAGCAGUUAUGAACUGAAAUGGCGCAUCAUAGGGUGAAGGGUUCAGCUUCAGAAGUCACUAGAAUACGUCACUCUUCUUACCUUGCAUAAACACUUUUAAAGAAAAACCUGGAGGAUCAGUUGAUUGUUGACAAAGUAUGGCUGCUGUGUGGCAUGAGAUGUAAUGUCCGAAUAGUGCAUUGAAGGCAUAACCUCGGAGUGACACAUGUAGGAAGCUUAUAAUCAAUUUCCACCUACUGUAGCUCUGUUUUGGCAGAGGCAGGCAAAGCAAAGUGUGCUGCAGGCAAAGCAUCCUUCUUUGCUUUUAUUUUUCUUCCAAUAAAACAACCAGUGUUCAGUGUGGCUCCAAAAUUUUUCAUCUUUGGAUUAAAAAAGCGAGCAGCAGGUAGCUGUGACGCAGGUUUUGCACAGUCAUUGAACUGAACACACCUUAAACUAACAGAGAGGGUGAAAGGUAGUAGUGUUUUUGCACUGAAUCUGUGUUUUUAGACGAGGCAGCACCUUUUAUAUAAAAGCAUGUUUAUAUCGACUCCUUAAGAAGUUUAGACUGGAGGGCUGUCUCCAGAAACUGUCCCCCUCCCCUUUUGCCAAGUCCCAUAUGUUUGUCUUGGCAGGAUGUAGUGUCUGCUUGGCUGGUGCUGGGAUAUUAAAUUGAGGGAACACAGAGCUCUUGAUGCUUUUCAAUAGGGCUUCUAUUUAGUUAGUGGCAGGAUAGAGCUGUCAGCCACCUGCGAUUGUCCAACCAGGAAAAAGAGAGAAAUAAAAGGGGUGGGGAGAGAGCCCACAUUUUGCAAUUUUAUAGAUGUGUGGACAGAAGAAAGCAUUUUCUGGGAGUCAGCAGCUUUGUGUUGGUUCGAUUUUCAUUUAGUUCCAUGUGUACUGGGUCCUUGUGCUGUCAUUCUGUCUUCAUCAGUGUUAGUGGAAGGUGAAAUAAAUGAUGAUGCAAGCUGAAACAACCCAGGUUGGCUCAAGCAAGUUUCUCAUUUAACUUAUCACCUGUGGAGAAUGCAUUAAGAGAUUUUGUUAAUAGCCAAAUAAUUAAUGGCUCAAAGACUUGUCAUAUUUGUUGUACAAGACCACUGUUGGCAGUCGUACAAGAGAAUGGUGCAUGUCUUCUCUGUCUCUCUUCUACCACCAACAAAUGCUUUGAAGAAUGGAAGAAAAAUUGAAAGGUUUGAAGAAAUCUGCAGGGGGAGUGGAAAAGAUUUUUGCGUUUAAGCCUGAACAAUGUGUUGCUAAUUGCCCUUACUCAUUCUCUGAUUUGCUUUAGGUGGUAUCAUAUUUCUUUCUCUCUAAUUCAAAAAGAAGAUACAUGAGAAGUCAGUUUUUGGAGAAGAUUACAGUCAUGAAGGUGAGGCAGGAGGGCUGAUAUGCAGCACUGACUGGCAGCUUGUCUGAGAGAAGGUGACUUUGUCAUGUGAAAGAAGAGUGUCCUUCCUUGUUGUGAAAGACACAUGUCAGGGUGAUGGAGGAACUGUUUUCUAAACAGGCUUAUCAGCUCUUUGAAGACAAGCUGCAAACUUAUAUAGCUGUCACACAGGCUCACAGAACAGUGAAGUAUGUAUUUUCACAGACCUGUAAGUAUUUGGUUGUGCUUCUCUGACCUUGCCUCUGUAGUCCCUUUGCUCCUGCUCAGAUGACAAUUGAUCUGAACAGCUGUGGGCUCUGGGCUCCAGAGAUCUUAGCAUACAUUUUAAUACAUUUUACAGACAAAGCCUGUCAAUGUGUUUCCCCAUGUCCUCCCUACUGGAUUGCAGCCAUUGAAUAUAGAUCUUGUUCUUCUAAUCAAGCAGAGUAAUCACCCUCCUGAGCGUGGCGUCUCCCCUAGAACAGGAGUGGCUUAUCGCGCAGGAAGUUUUCCCCUUUCACACUGAAUUCUUAGCUGUCUUUGGGCUGGAAAAUAACUGUCCUGACUCUUUAACAGAUGGCAGCUUGCACAGAUGCUGUGGUGAAAGCUACUACCAUCUUCUCAUUUCCACUUCCUAGGUAGAAUCCAGCUGCAUCACUUGUUCUUACUGCUCUGUAUUUACACAUGUAAAGCUACUGAAUGGUGUAAAGUUGGAACUUUCCUCCAGAGCAGAGUUGGGUUUUGCUUCCUCAGAUCCCUGUGGCUAUUGCUCAUCUUUCUCCAUGUAGUCUGUGAGUUUCUCACUGAGGACUGUUACUGCAGUCUGAGUUCAUUAAGGCAGCCUCUUUCAGCUCAGCAAUUUCAGCCUGCUUUUUAAUCUGCUUCUUAUGUUAUUGGCAACCCACUCUUAUUUGGAGAUGAAAACAGAGCCUUAAAUAUGAUGUUAAAUUUCAGUUUUGUAAGCUUUUAAUGUCUCCUCUUUGAAAUCUUCGCACUAAAGAUGUGGUAUUUCUUAAUUAUUCUUUAUAUUACAGAUGAGUGUAAGUAUCCCAAGCCAGAUAAAAGAUGCCUGUAGUAGGAACAAAGAUUCUUAUGUUCUUAUGUAGGAGAAUGCAUUGAAGCUCUAUUGAUCAUGUAUCCCCUCAUGGCGCAGUGUAAUCAAUUAUGUAUUGGAUGACUGACUUUUUAGAUUGCAAAAUUUUAUGCCUCGGGUACAGAUAAAGUAGGUCUAAAAUGUGUAUUCAGCUGGAGCAGUUACCAUUUUGCUAAAAGCCUAUAUAAUGGUUAGUUGCAAGAAAGCUACAUCAAAUAGGCAAACAUUUGACUUUAGGAUUCCACAAGGGACUUUAUCUCCCUCUUCACUCUCUUCGGUGUAUUGUCUUCAUAAUAGCAACUGAAAGCAGACAAGGCAUUUAAUCUAAGAAUGUGAACUCAUACAAAUCUAGUAAGUAUGGAUUGUCAUGAAUUUGUAUACUCAAUAUUGUCAGAAGAGAGUGCCGUUUGAUGUUUAUCCAUUUUAAGCACUGAGUGCAACAUGGAACAAGUAUUUGCAUCCUGGUCUCCAGAGCUAACUAACUCACCAGGCCUGAUGUAUCUCAUGCAACAGAGUGCUGUUUGUCCUGUGUUUGCAAAAAGCUUUCAUUAAAGAUGUAAUCCCAGUUAACUGCCAGAAAAGCACUUACAUGAUAAUCUUGGUUGCUAGUUUGGAACAGAGAAAAGACAAAUUUAAAAAAAAAAAAGAAGAAG